rnacentral:rRNA from 1 species
UUCUUACGAAGGUAUGCUUAAAGAGGGGCUUGCGCCACAUUAGUUAGUUGGUAGAGUAAAAGCCUACCAAGACGAUGAUGUGUAGCUGGACUGAGAGGUUGAACAGCCACAUUGGGACUGAGACACGGCCCAAACUCCUACGGGAGGCAGCAGUAGGGAAUUUUCGGCAAUGGAGGAAACUCUGACCGAGCAACGCCGCGUGAACGAUGAAGUAUUUCGGUAUGUAAAGUUCUUUUAUUGAAGAAGAAAAAGUAGUGGAAAAACUAUAUUGACGUUAUUCAAUGAAUAAGCCCCGGCUAACUAUGUGCCAGCAGCCGCGGUAAGACAUAGGGGGCGAGCGUUAUCCGGAAUUAUUGGGCGUAAAGGGUGGCUAGGCUGUUAGAUAAGUAUAUAAUUUAAUUUCAGUGCUUAACGCCGUCUUUUUAUAGAAACAGUCUUGACUAGAGUGAGAUAGAGGCAAGCGGAAUUCCAUGUGUAGCGGUAAAAUGUGUAAAUAUAUGGAGGAACACCAGAAGCGUAGGCGGCUCGCUGGGUCUUUACUGACGCUGAGGCACGAAAGCGUGGGUAGCAAACAGGAUUAGAUACCCUGGUAGUCCACGCCGUAAACGAUGAGUACUAAGUGUCGGGGUAAAACUCGGUACUGAAGUUAACACAUUAAGUACUCCGCCUGAGUAGUACGUACGCAAGUAUGAAACUUAAAGGAAUUGACGGGACUCCGCACAAGCGGUGGAUCAUGUUGUUUAAUUCGAAGAUACACGAAAAAUCUUACCAGGUCUUGACAUACUCUGCAAAGCUAUAGAAAUAUAGUGGAGGUUAUCAGGGAUACAGGUGGUGCAUGGUUGUCGUCAGUUCGUGUCGUGAGAUGUUAGGUUAAGUCCUAAAACGAACGCAACCCUUGUCGUUAAUUGCCAGCACAUAAUGGUGGGGACUUUAACGAGACUGCCAAUUAAACAUUGGAGGAAGGUGAGGAUUACGUCAAAUCAUCAUGCCCCUUAUGAUCUGGGCUACAAACGUGAUACAAUGGCUGUGACAAAGAGUAGCUGAAACGCGAGUUUUUAGCCAAUCUCAAAAAAGCAGUCUCAGUUCGGAUUGAAGUCUGCAACUCGACUUCAUGAAGUUGGAAUCGCUAGUAAUCGCGAAUCAGCAUGUCGCGGUGAAUACGUUCUCGGGGUUUGUACACACCGCCCGUCAAACCACGAAAGUUAGCAAUGCCCGAAAGCAGUAGCUUAACUUCGCAAGAAGAGGGAACUGUCUAAGGUAGGGUUGAUGA